AUUGAACGCUGGCGGCAGGCCUAACACAUGCAAGUCGAGCGAGCGGCGGACGGGUGAGUAAUGUAUGGGAAUCUGCCCGAUAGAGGGGGAUAACUACUGGAAACGGUGGCUAAUACCGCAUACUAUCGGAUGUACCCAGAUGGGAUUAGCUAGUAGGUGGGGUAAAGGCUCACCUAGGCGACGAUCUCUAGCUGGUCUGAGAGGAUGAUCCGCCCAACUUGGACGGAGAAACGGCCCAGACUCCUACGGGAGGCAGAAGGGGGGAAUAUUGGAAAAUGGGCGCAAGCCUGAUGCAGCCAUGCCGCGUGGAUGAAGAAGGCCUUAGGGUUGUAAAGUACUUUCAGCGGGGAGGCGUUACCCGCAGAAGAAGCACCGGCUAACUCCGUGCCAGCCGCCGCGGUAAUUC
rnacentral:rRNA from 1 species